UCCAGAGGUCCCAAGCGUUGUUCGGAUUCACUGGGCGUAAAGGGUGCGUAGGCGGUCGGGUAAGUCUGAUGUGAAAUCUCACAGCUUAACUGUGAAACUGCAUUGGAUACUAUCCGGCUCGAGGAAUGGAGGGGAGACUGGAAUACUUGGUGUAGCAGUGAAAUGCGUAGAUAUCAAGUGGAACACCAGUGGCGAAGGCGGCUCACUGGCCCGGUACUGACGCUGAGGUGCGAAAGCGUGGGGAGCAAACAGG
rnacentral:rRNA from 1 species